CCUACGAGAGGCAGCAGUGAGGAAUAUUGGUCAAUGGACGAGAGUCUGAACCAGCCAAGUAGCGUGAAGGAUGACUGCCCUAUGGGUUGUAAACUUCUUUUAUAUGGGAAUAAAAUGUUCCACGUGUGGGAUUUUGUAUGUACCAUAUGAAUAAGGAUCGGCUAACUCCGUGCCAGCAGCCGCGGUAAUACUGAGGAUCCGAUCGUUAUCCGUAUUUCUUGGGUGUAAAGGGAGCGUAGGUGGAUUGUUAAGUCAGUUGUGAAAGUUUGCGGCUCAACCGUAAAAUGGCAGUUGAAACUGGCAGUCUUGAGUACAGUAGAGGUGGGCGGAAUUCGUGGUGUAGCGGUGAAAUGCUUAGAUAUCACGAAGAACUCCGAUUGCGAAGGCAGCUCACUGGACUUCAACAGACACUGAGGCUCGAAAGUGUGGGUAUCAAACAGGAUUAGAUACCCCUGUAGUC
rnacentral:rRNA from 1 species